CUGUUGUGAGAAGAUACCUCUAGUUCAGGGGUGGGCAACCGAGGGCCAGGACAGUGCAGGCUUUCCUUGCAACUAAUCACCUCAGCAGGUUGGUUUGUUGAUGAGCUUCUCCCCUGAACAUAAACACCUGAACAUCAAUGAAAUCACCUGCUGAGGUGAUUGGUAGAAAGGAAAACCUGCAGUGGCUUAGCCCUUCAUGGUACAUGAUUGCCCACCACUG